rnacentral:rRNA from 1 species
UUAAGUCGACCGCCUGGGGAGUACGGCCGCAAGGUUAAAACUCAAAUGAAUUGACGGGGGCCCGCACAAGCGGUGGAGCAUGUGGUUUAAUUCGAUGCAACGCGAAGAACCUUACCUGGUCUUGACAUCCACGGAAGUUUUCAGAGAUGAGAAUGUGCCUUCGGGAACCGUGAGACAGGUGCUGCAUGGCUGUCGUCAGCUCGUGUUGUGAAAUGUUGGGUUAAGUCCCGCAACGAGCGCAACCCUUAUCCUUUGUUGCCAGCGGUCCGGCCGGGAACUCAAAGGAGACUGCCAGUGAUAAACUGGAGGAAGGUGGGGAUGACGUCAAGUCAUCAUGGCCCUUACGACCAGGGCUACACACGUGCUACAAUGGCGCAUACAAAGAGAAGCGACCUCGCGAGAGCAAGCGGACCUCAUAAAGUGCGUCGUAGUCCGGAUUGGAGUCUGCAACUCGACUCCAUGAAGUCGGAAUCGCUAGUAAUCGUGGAUCAGAAUGCCACGGUGAAUACGUUCCCGGGCCUUGUACACACCGCCCGUCACACCAUGGGAGUGGGUUGCAAAAGAAGUAGGUAGCUUAACCUUCGGGAGGGCGCUUACCACUUUGUGAUUCAUGACUGGGGUGAAGUCGUAACAAGGUAACCG